GGUGGCUUAGUGGUAGAGUGCUUGUCUUGCAUGCAUGAGGUCCUGGGUUCGAUUCCUCAGCACCA
rnacentral:tRNA from 1 species